AUGACGUUACUUUUUACCUAAAAAUAGUUCUUUAUGGACUUUGUUAAAAACGAAUCUACACUGCCAAAAACAUCUUUAUAAGAUAUAUGUGUCGCCGUUAUAAAUUUUUGCAAUUGCUCCACCCUAAUAUAAUCGAUAUAGAACCACACAUAAAUUAAAUAAUUGCCAAUUCGAGACCACACAUAAAGUUUAUUUAGAUAUAUAUUUUAUUAGUAGUUCGCGUGGAGAAUGGUUAUGUGUGCGCUGAUAUACAUCAUAAGUUAAAUCUAUGGAUUUUUGCCAUUAAUUAUGUGUGGAUUUUUAGUAGUGUAUUAAUAUCUAUUGUGGCUGUUGUUGCUGAUCCAGAUUCUAAGUAUGUAUUGAUAUUUUUUGGCGGCUUCUUCCAGCUUCCGAGAUUCCGGAUUUUUAUUAAUCAAAAGAGAUCAAAAGUAAAGAAAUUUUGAUAACUGUUGAAUAUUUGUCGCAUACGGAACCGCCAUAUUUUUAUCCUGCAAGAUUUUCCACCCAUCUGAACUUCUUACUUCGUCCCUUCUGGAUCACAAAAUCUAUCCCUUCCGACUGCCGAGCAUCCAUUCAAUCUGACUGACCAAACUUGUAUUCAAAAUGAGGAAAACCGGAAAACCAUCGAAAUUCUCCGUACACGGAACCACCGAGUUUUCCGGCACAAAGGCAGGCCUGUUCGAAGCGUUAUUGUUAUUGCCGUUACAUGCAUCGAAACUUAUCAAAGAUUACAGCGUAGAUUUGCAGCCUUUUCAGAAUAAGGCUUCAGCCAGGAAUAUACCACACUUGAACAUGGGAUAAAUAUUAAUAAUAAUAAAAAAAAAAUAAAGUUUUUUGGGCUUCCAUUUGACAUCCCACAGUUGCAAUU